ACAAUCCCUCUCUGGCCCAGCUGUGCCUGAUGUCCCCAGGACAGGGAUGUCCCUCCUGGCUCCAGGACACUGCAGCCUCGUGUCCAGCUGGCCAUUGACCAGGAGCCCCUGCAGGUCCCUUUCCCUGGCACUGCUUUCCAGCCUCUCAUUCCCAGUGUGUCCGUGCACCCAGGGCUGCCCCAUCCCAGGCCCAGAACCUGGCCCUGUCCCUUGCUGAACUCCACGGCUGGUGAUCGCCCAGCCCCGCCAUUUGUGGGGGUCUCUCUGCAGGGCCUCCCGGCCAUCGAGGGGGUCGACAGCUCCUCCCAGCUCUGUGUCAUCUGUGAACUUGUUCAGGAUCCCUUCCAAUCCUCCAUUCCAAGAGGUCGCAGUGACAAGCCCUUGAAGGACAUGGAAGUUAAGUGCAUGCCAAGAGAACCCAGGAGACCAGCAGGUGAAAAAAGCUCGGUCACAGAAUGAAAGAAGAGGCAGGAAGAGGAAAAUAAACAGCUGAGUCAUGGCUGCAAAAACAAAAAACCCAACCAAAAUCCUACAGGAAAGGGAAGGACUAGAAGGGGCUGGCCAUGAAGCUUUGAGAGAAGCCACAAAUGCAGCAUUUUGCCUUUACAAAGGCAUUUCUCCAUCUGCCAAGAGAGGGCUACCAGGACUCCCACAGAGGACGUGGAGGGUACCAGGCAGCACUGCCCAGGGACAGUGGCAGCAUUCAGUGGGCUCCAGCUGCUGAGAAAUAUGUGGAAAUUACAUGCUGUAAGUCAGCUAAAUAAACCAGGCGGAAAAAUGGCUGAGUCAGAAAAACUGGGCCAUUAAGUUCAAAUGCUUUAUUAAUUGGAAAACUGCUUAACACAGCUGGAGAUCCUCUGGGUAUGGGUAAACAAAAAUAUGAGGGUGAGAGAACCAAUUAAAACACUAAUUAGUCCUUUUAGGAAGUUCUCCAGGUCCAUUAAUGAUAACCCUUAAUUGUAAGCUAUGGAAGAGAAAAUUUAUCAAUAUUGUUGCUGCUGCCUUGGACAUUAGUGUUCUGUGUGUGUGUGUGUCUUGCCUUUUUGUGUCUAUACAAAAAUCAUUAACUCAAGAAACUGCACACUUACCAGAGGCAAGUGGAAGUUAAUGAAAAAUUAGAGACUCGGUCUUCCAACCCCCCCUCUGUGGGUAAUUCAACAAAGAAUUAUAUACUGGGAUAUAAUUUAUGCAAGCCCGUUUUUUUGAAAGGAAGGACCACCAAUUCUUCCCUCUCAUUCCCACAGCAGCAGAAACAAAGCAGCAGCACUGCAGCUGAAACAGUUUGCAAGAGUUUGCAUUAAGUGUUAAUAACCAAGUAAUUAUCAUACCAAUAACUCUAAUGAAAAACACAAGGUCGUGCUUCCAGAAGAUUGUGUUUUGCAGAGAUGGAAAGAGGUUUUGUGGGGUCCAUUGCCCUGGCUUACAGAAUACAGUUUCUAGACUGAGGAAUCCAGCUAUUACUGAAGUGAAUGUUCACUUGAUCUUGGCCUCUGCAGCUCUGCCUUCACCGAUAAAAGCAACCUUAGAAUGACCAGAUGUUUGAUUGCUGCUCCAUAUUUAGCAAGAAGCACAGCCGUAUGUGGAAGAUUUGCUCUGCAUCCAAGCAGAAGGAGAGCUUGGAAAAGGCCUUAUGAUGCUGCUGGAACCGUGGCUGGUGUCUUUUCUAGGGCCCUUAGGGGACUGCUUGUCAGGAGCUCCCCCAUGGACACCAAAGGAAAAUUUGCCAUUUUCUUGAAUUAGGCCUGCAGUGGGGCCCUGGUUGAACAAGAAAUGCUUGGCUGACAGUGCAGCAGCUUAGAAACUGAAGCGAGUUCAAAAGUUCCUAACAACACUUCCAAACAAGAACUUUGUGAAGACAAUGCAAAAGCCACCAUGCAUAUUUGCUGGAAUAAAAAACCAAAUUAGCUUCAAACUGGGUUUGUGAUUCCUCCCUGACUUGUAUGUUUACUUUUCAUUAAUAUUGAUUCCUUCUGACCUUGCAGUGCCUCUCCUUCAUUGUACUUGCUCCCCAGUGAACAGCUCACUGGCAACAAUAUUAAUAGCAAAAGAAAAUGUUAACGAUAGAGACGACUUGCAUGGGGGAUUUUCACCUUGUGAAUAAAGGUUUUUAUUUAAUCAGAAAACCUCAUUUGGAGACUUCAGAUGAUAUACUGUGUGUGACCCUGUAUGUGGUGAAGCCGACUGGCAUGGCAUGAAUUCUGAUAUCAUAACAAAUGUUCUCCAAGCAGUGCAGAGACAUAUGAUAUAUCCUGAAAACAGCUCAGACAUGAGAUCGAUACAUAAGAUUAGGAAGCCAUAACCUCUAGGUGACCCAUAUGGAAACAAGAGCAAGGCUAAAUUCAGUGAGUAAAAUGCUGGCUGGGAUCUAGCUGUAACAAAGAGAUUUUGCACUAACUUUGCCCUGGCUGUUUUUUUCUGCUUCUCUUUGAUUUCUUGGUCAGCAGUAAAGAUUCUCUUCCCAUGACCAGCAGUGAUUUGGGAGUGUGGUUGAGGAGGGCUUUUGAAGGCACUCCUCCCUUGGCAUCUGCCAGGGGUUCUGUGGCUGUGUUGGUCCCUUCCAGUCUUUGGCCUGGGUUUCCUUCAGCUGUGUCCCUCUGUCCUUGUGAGAGAGACAGCUAGGAAUGGCAAAGGCUGCCCACUCCAUUUCUGAAGUGUGUAUUCCAUGAUGGGAUGCUCCCCUCGGUGCCAUGAGAUCCCAGAGAUGAGCAUCCUGCACACACACACCCAGAGUUACACAGAAUAGACCUUGAUUUCUGCUCCUCAUGGUGGCCUGCUCAGUAACUGAAAUGCUCCCAGAAGGAAAAAUUGCUUUUUGUUCCAUGUUUUCCAUGGGGAGCUCUUGCAGAAUUAGAAGUGUGGAACAGCUUACUCUGAAAUAGCUGAGCCAGGAGUCCUUUGGCCUUUGUUUCAGGGUGAAAUUUGGUUUUUGUUUUCUUUGUUUUUGUUUUAAUACUGUGGAAAAAAAAAAUCCUCUUUCCAUAAGAAGCAGCUAAACACAGAAAUCUUUUACAGUCCCCCCAUACAACUGUAAUAAAAUUUGCAUGAGAGAAGAAAUUGUGCUUGUUUAUUUGGUGCCCUUUAUACCCCCUAUGGCCUUGAGCUAGCACAUCUGACAGCAAUGAUGAGCUGUGGAUAUGGGAAUAACAGUGCUGUGAAAUCUUCCCCAAAACAACAGCAUUUGUGGUCUGAUUCAUAACUGCAAACGCUCUGGUGUGGGAUCCAUGGCACAGAAACUGACUCCAGGCUUUAAAAACUGGUUUAAGUUUGGAGUCGUGUUGAACGUGGGAAUCCAUAUUAGGUGUGAUUCUUUGAGCAGGAUCAGGCCAGCAGACAAAGUGUGAUGGAUGCCCCAAUUCCUUGGAAGAAUCCUCAGCCUCGCUGCCACGGCAGCUACCGUGAGCUGCGGGCAUUUAAAAAUCAUAUCACUAAAGAUGUGGAUGGAGGGCUGAGGUUUUCCAGAGCCUUCAAGAAGUGCUAUAUGAGGCACUUGGAUUCCUGUGUUAUUAAGAUGCUUUUGAAGCUUUUACCCAGGAGAGACUAAUUUUAGGUACCCACUUUUGAGAAUCUCAGCCAGAAGGGAAACAAACCACUGAUAAAAGUUAGAGAGAGUCUGUGUUUUGGAAACCGACCCACAGUUAUUUACACGUCUGUGUAUUAUCUUGUGUUGGUCACUGGUUUUUUGUAUGUGUAUGUGUGGUUUGUUUGUGUUUUGUU